rnacentral:rRNA from 1 species
CCAAUAGCGUAUAUUAAAGUUGUUGCAGUUAAAAAGCUCGUAGUUGAAUUUCGGGGUCAGUAGGUCGGUCGUGCCACUGGUAUGAACUGGUCUCACUGAUUCCUCCCUCUUGUAGAACCGUGAUGCCAUUAAUUUGGUGUUGCGGGGAAACAGGACUGUUACUUUGAAAAAAUUAGAGUGUUUAAAGCAAGCUAACGCUUGAAUACAUUAGCAUGGAAUAAUGAAAUAGGACGUCUGUCUUAUUUUGUUGGUUUCUAGGAUGGACGUAAUGAUUAAUAGGGAUAGUUGGGGGCAUUAGUAUUCAAUUGUCAGAGGUGAAAUUCUUGGAUUUAUUGAAGACUAACUACUGCGAAAGCAUUUGCCAAGGAUGUUUUCAUUAAUCAAGAACGAAAGUUAGGGGAUCGAAGACGAUCAGAUACCGUCGUAGUCUUAACCAUAAACUAUGCCGACUAGGGAUCGGAUGAUGUUAAUUUUUUAAUGACUCAUUCGGCGCCUUACG